rnacentral:sRNA from 1 species
AGCAAAGCACACUGCCGUAGACAGUAGGUGUCGGUUAACCGACGUAAGAACAAUCGCCUACCGAGGAAGAUGUGAUCAUGAAAAGAUUAUUUAUGAAACUUCACCUCUCUGUCUGCGGACGGAGAGGUUUUUUAUAUG